CAAUAGCGUAUAUUUAGGUUGUUGCAGUUAAAAAGCUCGUAGUUGGAUUUCGGGUGGGGCGCAGCGGUCUCGCAUUGCGUUUGUACUGCUGCAGCCCUCCUUCUUGCCGGGGGCGGCCUCUCGGACUUCACUGUCUGGGGGUCAGAAUCGGCGAUGUUACUUUGAGUAAAUUAGAGUGUUCAAAGCAAGCUUACGCUCUGAAUAUAAUAGCAUGGGAUAACACGACAGGACUCUGGCCUAUCGUGUUGGUCUAUAGGACCAGAGUAAUGAUUAAGAGGGACAGUCGGGGGCAUUCGUAUUCCGUUGUCAGAGGUGAAAUUCUUGGAUUUACGGAAGACGAACAUCUGCGAAAGCUUUUGCCAAGGAUGUUUUCAUUGA
rnacentral:rRNA from 1 species